rnacentral:rRNA from 1 species
GGGGAUGUGCAGACGGGUGAGUACGCGUGGAACGUGCCUUUCACUACGGAAUAGCUUUUGGAAACGAAAGGUAAUACCGUAUACGCCCUCCGGGGGAAAGAUUUAUCGGUGAAAGAUCGGUCCGCGUUAGAUUAGCUAGUUGGUGAGGUAAGAGCUCACCAAGGCGACGAUCUAUAGCUGGUCUGAGAGGAUGAUCAGCCACACUGGGACUGAGACACGGCCCAGACUCCUACGGGAGGCAGCAGUGGGGAAUAUUGCACAAUGGGCGCAAGCCUGAUGCAGCCAUGCCGCGUGAAUGAUGAAGGCCUUAGGGUUGUAAAAUUCUUUCGCCAAGGAUGAUAAUGACAGUACUUGGUAAAGAAGCCCCGGCUAACUUCGUGCCAGCAGCCGCGGUAAUACGAAGGGGGCUAGCGUUGUUCGGAAUUACUGGGCGUAAAGCGCACGUAGGCGGACUUUUAAGUCAGGUGUGAAAUCCCGAGGCUCAACCUCGGAACUGCACUUGAAACUGGGAGUCUAGAGAUCAGGAGAGGUUAGUGGAAUACCGAGUGUAGAGGUGAAAUUCGUAGAUAUUCGGUGGAACACCAGUGGCGAAGGCGACUAACUGGACUGAUACUGACGCUGAGGUGCGAAAGUGUGGGGAGCAAACAGGA